GAGUUUGAUCCUGGCUCAGAUUGAACGCUGGCGGCAGGCCUAACACAUGCAAGUCGAGCGGAUGACGGGAGCUUGCUCCUUGAUUCAGCGGCGGACGGGUGAGUAAUGCCUAGGAAUCUGCCUGGUAGUGGGGGACAACGUUUCGAAAGGAACGCUAAUACCGCAUACGUCCUACGGGAGAAAGCAGGGGACCUUCGGGCCUUGCGCUAUCAGAUGAGCCUAGGUCGGAUUAGCUAGUUGGUGGGGUAAUGGCUCACCAAGGCGACGAUCCGUAACUGGUCUGAGAGGAUGAUCAGUCACACUGGAACUGAGACACGGUCCAGACUCCUACGGGAGGCAGCAGUGGGGAAUAUUGGACAAUGGGCGAAAGCCUGAUCCAGCCAUGCCGCGUGUGUGAAGAAGGUCUUCGGAUUGUAAAGCACUUUAAGUUGGGAGGAAGGGCAGUAAGUUAAUACCUUGCUGUUUUGACGUUACCGACAGAAUAAGCACCGGCUAACUCUGUGCCAGCCGCCGCCG
rnacentral:rRNA from 1 species